rnacentral:lncRNA from 1 species
UGGAUAGAUCAGAUAACGCAAUGCCAUCUGCAUUUUGUCAAUAGAGAGGUUACCAUGUGACUUUCAUGAUACAUUAGUUAACUGGAGUAGGAAUGACAAACUGUUCAGUAUAAUUGAGAUUAAACUUUAAUAAUGGGGAAUUUAAUAAAUAAUUCUCAUUUCGAGCACUACCAAAAUAUAGUACUUUAUGAUACUUUGUAUUUGACUUUUCUUUUCUACUUUUUAAAAACCGCCUGCGCAUCUUAGA